rnacentral:lncRNA from 1 species
GCCAUUUCUCGUCAAUAGGGCUGCGGGCACAUGUGGGGAGCAGUCGCCCGUGACGGAUGGGGCCUCAUUGUGCAAGGAGAAGCAGAUGUGGAGAAAAGGGAGCUGUUAUACUGAACACCUGUCCAGCAAUCGGGAUCCCCAAAAAAGGAAAUAACUCCUGUGCUGCCAUGCCGUGUUGACUUUUCGACAAAGUGUGAGUCUGGUAAACAGGGAACUUCUCUGUCCCCUUUCAAUGCUACCUCCUUUCUUGAGCUGCUU